rnacentral:rRNA from 1 species
AACACUGACAAUUCGAACGCAAAUUGCGGUCCUUUGGGAUUCCAUCCUGAGGGCCACGCCUGUCUGAGGGUCGG